GUCUACAGCCAUACCACUCUGAACAUGCCUGAUCUCAUCUGCUCUCAGAAGCUAAGCAGACUUGGGCCUAUUAGUACUUGCAUGAUAGACAGCCCAGGAAUAGCAGGUGUUACAGGUU
ensembl:rRNA 5S_rRNA 5S ribosomal RNA